AUUAAAAUUGGCCCACCUAUAUUCUGCCUAAAUACUUGACCCAUUCCAUUAUUGUUAUAACAUAUAAAUAGAGUAGUAGGGUUUCCUAAUUCCAUUCCUUCUAGUUUCUGCCGCUUCAAACCUAGCGCACAUGUAAAUAUUUCCCCUUCCUUUAUUGAAUCAAAGUUUCAUCAAGUAUAUUAUGUAUCAUCAAUACCUUUCCAUGGAGAUGCAUAUCUGUUGCUCAUUUCAGCUUUCAGAAUUGUGUUUUUCAAUUGAUGGGAGGAAUCUCAUGUUUUUUGUAUUUUGCUGAGGGUUCGAGGUCCGUAGAAAGAAUUCCAGAUCCAAUUAUGGCCGGUAAAAAGAUAAUGGGAUGCUCACAACCGCAAGUAAUUGAACUGUAAUGUUGUUCUGAAGUGUAAGAAUUGCAAAAAUCUUCCAAGACCCUCCUCUUUUGCUGUGAUUCCUUUUUGAUGGUUGAUAUAGUCUAGGCUAGCAAACUUUUUCACCUUUUUUGUUGCCCGUAGGGUUGUAAAUAGUUGCAUAUGAAAUGUGAACUCUGUAAGCUGUAUCCUCUUCAGCCUUGUCACUCUCUUGUUGUUGUAAUCCUUAUGUAAGGACAUUGAAAUUUAUCAUUGUUAAGGAUCUUUCUAUCUA